GGAGCCAACCUUGAAAUACCAGCCUGGCAUCAUUGGCGUUCUAACUCAGGUCCGUGAUCCGGAUCGAGGACCGUGUGUGGUGGGUAGUUUGACUGGGGCGGUCUCCUCCCAAAGCGUAACGGAGGAGCACGAAGGUACCCUCAGUACGGUUGGAAAUCGUGCAUUGAGUGCAAGAGCAUAAGGGUGCUUGACUGCGAGACAGACACGUCGAGCAGGUACGAAAGUAGGUUCUAGUGAUCCGGUGGUUCUGUAUGGAAGGGCCAUCGCUCAACGGAUAAAAGGUACUCCGGGGAUAACAGGCUGAUACCGCCCAAGAGUUCACAUCGACGGCGGUGUUUGGCACCUCGAUGUCGGCUCAUCACAUCCUGGGGCUGAAGUCGGUCCCAAGGGUAUGGCUGUUCGCCAUUUAAAGUGGUACGCGAGCUGGGUUUAGAACGUCGUGAGACAGUUCGGUCCCUAUCUGCCGUGGGCGUUGGAGAUUUGAGAAGAGCUGCUCCUAGUACGAGAGGACCGGAGUGGACGCACCUCUGGUGUUCCGGUUGUCACGCCAGUGGCA
rnacentral:rRNA from 2 species